rnacentral:rRNA from 1 species
GUAUACAGCCAUGACACCUUGAACGUGCCCGCCCGAUCCUGUCUGAUCUCGGAAGCUAAGCAGGGUUGGGCCUGGUUAGUACUUGGAUUGGAGACCACCUAGGAAGACUAGGUGCUGUAGGUG